ACAUCCAGAGAACUUUCCAGAGAUGGAUUGGUGCCUUCGGGGAACUCUGAGACAGGUGCUGCAUGGCUGUCGUCAGCUCGUGUUGUGAAAUGUUGGGUUAAGUCCCGCAACGAGCGCAACCCUUAUCCUUUGUUGCCAGCGGUUAGCCGGGAACUCAAAGGAGACUGCCAGUGAUAAACUGGAGGAAGGUGGGGAUGACGUCAAGUCAUUAUGGCCCUUACGAGUAGGGCUACACACGUGCUACAAUGGCGCAUACAAAGAGAAGCGACCUCGCGAGAGCAAGCGGACCUCAUAAAGUGCGUCGUAGUCCGGAUUGGAGUCUGCAACUCGACUCCAUGAAGUCGGAAUCGCUAGUAAUCGUGGAUCAGAAUGCCACGGUGAAUACGUUCCCGGGCCUUGUACACACCGCCCGUCACACCAUGGGAGUGGGUUGCAAAAGAAGUAGGUAGCUUAACCUUCGGGAGGGCGCUUACCACUUUGUGAUUCAUGACUGGGGUGAAGUCGUAACAAGGUAGGCGUAGUGCU
rnacentral:rRNA from 1 species